AUUCAAGCCCUCUGCGCUGGUGGCCUGCGGGUGGAGAUGGUGUCGUCAGCUCGUGCCCUCGGGUGCGGGUCAUACUUCGCUACUCUGCCUGUGGGUAUCUUUCCGGUGCGGGGGGCUGCACUUCUCGCCUAGUAGGACGUCGCGACCCGUUGGGUGCCGUUCAAUGGCCCGUGGUGGAGGCCGUGCCGGAGCGUCGUUUCGGCGGCGUUGCUGUCGCACGGACCCGCGGUGACCUGAACGGCUGCCCGACGGUAGCAAAGCAUUGGGAAAGGGACCGCACAGAAGGCUGCGUCCGACGCUCGCUCACUGAGCUACGCUCGGACAGGUCCGUACCCGGUCAGCGGCGCUUCUGCUUCCGGUACUCGUCCGACCCGUCUUGAAACACGGACCAAGGAGUCUAACAUGUACGCGAGUCAUUGGGCUCUGCGAAACCUAAAGGCGAAAUGAAAGUAAAGGCUAGGCACUUGUGCCAAGCUGAGGGGUGAUGGCCGUCCCUCGUGGACGGCCCGCAACCCCGGGGCGUCGCGUUCUCUUUGAGAAGUGGCGCACCCAGAGCGUACACGUUGGGACCCGAAAGAUGGUGAACUAUGCCUGGCCAGGACGAAGUCAGGGGAAACCCUGAUGGAGGUCCGUAGCGAUUCUGACGUGCAAAUCGAUCGUCGGAGCUGGGUAUAGGGGCGAAAGACUAAUCGAACCAUCUAGUAGCUGGUUCCCUCCGAAGUUUCCCUCACGAUAGCUGGCGCUCUGAGGAAAGAGUUUCAUCCGGUAAAGCGAAUGAUUA
rnacentral:rRNA from 1 species